UACGGGGGGGGGCAAGCGUUGUUCGGAAUUACUGGGCGUAAAGGGCUCGUAGGUGGCCAACUAAGUCGGACGUGAAAUCCCUCGGCUUAACCGGGGAACUGCGUCCGAUACUGGUUGGCUUGAGUUUGGGAGAGGGAUGCGGAAUUCCAGGUGUAGCGGUGAAAUGCGUAGAUAUCGAGAGGAACACCUGCGGCGAAGGCGGGUUGCUGGGCCGACACUGACGCUGAUGCGCGAAAGCCAGGGGAGCGAACGGG
rnacentral:rRNA from 1 species